UACGGGGGGGGCAAGCGUUGUUCGGAAUUACUGGGCGUAAAGGGCUCGUAGGCGGCCAACUAAGUCAGACAUGAAAUCCCCAGGCUCAACCUGGGAACUGCGUCUGAUACUGGAUGGCUUGAAUCCGGGAGAGGGAUGCAGAAUUCCAGGUGUAGCGGUGAAAUGCGUAGAUAUCUGGAGGAAUACCGGUGGCGAAGGCGGCAUCCUGGACCGGCAUUGACGCUGAGGAGCGAAAGCCAGGGGAGCAAACGGG
rnacentral:rRNA from 1 species